AGUCGAGCGGACAGAUGGGAGCUUGCUCCCUGAUGUUAGCGGCGGACGGGUGAGUAACACGUGGGUAACCUGCCUGUAAGACUGGGAUAACUCCGGGAAACCGGGGCUAAUACCGGAUGGUUGUUUGAACCGCAUGGUUCAAACAUAAAAGGUGGCUUCGGCUACCACUUACAGAUGGACCCGCGGCGCAUUAGCUAGUUGGUGAGGUAACGGCUCACCAAGGCAACGAUGCGUAGCCGACCUGAGAGGGUGAUCGGCCACACUGGGACUGAGACACGGCCCAGACUCCUACGGGAGGCAGCAGUAGGGAAUCUUCCGCAAUGGACGAAAGUCUGACGGAGCAACGCCGCGUGAGUGAUGAAGGUUUUCGGAUCGUAAAGCUCUGUUGUUAGGGAAGAACAAGUACCGUUCGAAUAGGGCGGUACCUUGACGGUACCUAACCAGAAAGCCACGGCUAACUACGUGCCAGCAGCCGCGGUAAUACGUAGGUGGCAAGCGUUGUCCGGAAUUAUUGGGCGUAAAGGGCUCGCAGGCGGUUUCUUAAGUCUGAUGUGAAAGCCCCCGGCUCAACCGGGGAGGGUCAUUGGAAACUGGGGAACUUGAGUGCAGAAGAGGAGAGUGGAAUUCCACGUGUAGCGGUGAAAUGCGUAGAGAUGUGGAGGAACACCAGUGGCGAA
rnacentral:rRNA from 1 species